rnacentral:rRNA from 1 species
GACGAACGCUGGCGGCGUGCCUAAUACAUGCAAGUAGAACGCACAGUUUAUACCGUAGCUUGCUACACCAUAGACUGUGAGUUGCGAACGGGUGAGUAACGCGUAGGUAACCUGCCUGGUAGCGGGGGAUAACUAUUGGAAACGAUAGCUAAUACCGCAUAAUAUUAAUUAUUGCAUGAUAAUUAAUUGAAAGGUGCAAUUGCACCACUACCAGAUGGACCUGCGUUGUAUUAGCUAGUAGGUGAGGUAACGGCUCACCUAGGCGACGAUACAUAGCCGACCUGAGAGGGUGAUCGGCCACACUGGGACUGAGACACGGCCCAGACUCCUACGGGAGGCAGCAGUAGGGAAUCUUCGGCAAUGGACGAAAGUCUGACCGAGCAACGCCGCGUGAGUGAAGAAGGUUUUCGGAUCGUAAAGCUCUGUUGUAAGAGAAGAACGGGUGUGAGAGUGGAAAGUUCACACUGUGACGGUAUCUUACCAGAAAGGCACGGCUAACUACGUG